CCCGGGCGGAGCCAUCGGGGCCAGGUGAGCCCAGGUGGGACCAGGUGGGGACCAGGAGGGGACAGGAGGGGACAGGAGGGACCCGGGGCCACCUUAAAUAGCCCAGGUGAGGGUGGGGGAGGGGCCCAGGUGAGGCUGGGAGGCCCCGCCCACCCCCCAAAUCCUCUGAGUCACCGGGAUUGACCCGCUUGGGGUGGGGGGACACACCUGGGACACACCUGGGGGACACCUGGGGGACACCUGGGGGACACCUGAGACACCUGGGGGACACGUGAGGGGGAUGGGGACACACCUGGGGGACACCUGAGACACCUGGGGGACACCUGGGGACAGCGGGGACACACCUGGGAGGAUGGAGACACACGUGGGGACACACCUGGGGACAGUGGGGACACACCUGAGAUACCUGGGUCACACCUGGAGGGAAUUGGGAUACCUGGAGCACAUCUGGGUCACACCUGGAUCACACCUGGGGGUGGAUUGGGAUAUUUGGGUCACACCUGGGGCACACCUGGGGCAUCACCUGGGGCAUCAUCACCUGCUUCUCCCCCACCUGAGGGGGGUCAGGGCUCACCUGCCCAGGUGUGCGGUCGCCUGGCCAGGAUCAGGGUCAGGAUUUGGGGUUCACCUGUCCAGGAUCAGGGUCAGGGCUCACCUGGCCAGGUGUGACCUCACCUGUCUGGGAUCAGGGCCAGAGUUGGGGCUCACCUGUCCAGAAUCAGGAUCAGGGCCAGAUUUUGGGGCUCAUCUGGCCAGGUGUGGGGUCACCUGUCCAGGAUUACAGUCAGGGUCAGAUUUUGGGGCUCACCUGCCCAGAUCAGGAUCAGGGUCAGGAUUUGGGGCUCACCUGGCCAGAUCAGGAUCAGGGUCAGGAUUUGGGGCUCACCUGGCUGGGAUCAGGAUCAGGGAUUUUGGGGCUCACCUGCCCAGGUGUGACCUCACCUGGCCAGAUCAGGGUCAGGAUUUGGGCGCGGCCGACGCCGAAGUGACCCCGACCCCCAC
rnacentral:lncRNA from 1 species